rnacentral:lncRNA from 1 species
AGAUGUCCUCGAAAAAGGCCCACCAUAUUCACCACAACAGGCACGCCCCGGUCAUGUGUACAUGCUGCCAGCUGUGCCACAGGACAUAAUAAUGAGCACAGACAGACACAGGGCUGGGCAGCAUUUCAAAAACAGGCUGCGGGUGCUACAGUGGUUAUACCACGAUUUGUGCCUGCAAACAAUGUACCCUGCGAAACUGUAUGCAGAGGCAGCCCGAGCCCUCAUAGCCAAGUUUCCUAACUUGGCUGACAGUGCAGGGACUGGCUAUGACUCGUGGCGAGAAGCUUUAAGGUUUAAAGCUAAAUAUGAGCGAAGAAAGCUCAGGCUGCAAGAACGCACUGAUGAUGGCCCACCACCUAAAAGACCGACAGUGGUCAACAGUGACAGUCUUGCCCCAAAAGGGUCACAAGACCAUUUUCAGCUGCUGCCAUGGAAGAUGGAGAGGACAAGGAUACAAUUGACGCUCAUCUUGUGGCUAUGGCUAAAGAAGUGUCGAAGGCCCGGCCUGACGUCAAUUACACUUCUGACUGUAUGGCUAGAACAUUUGCUAGCAGAAGGAAAUGGAUUGGCGAAAACCCAUCAGUGGCAGACAUUGUGAAGGAGUACCCGGCUCUUUCCAUGAGCACAAUCGCUCAGCUGGAGUUUCAGCGCAUGACAGACGUUGCAGUUUUGGAGAAACUUGAAGAGG